UCACUAUGAUGAAUGGUCCAAAACAUUCGCGGUUUCCACCAGAAUGUCAAGCAAUGUUGGCAGUUAACCUUCCUUGGAUGUCUGAGUGA
rnacentral:snoRNA from 1 species